rnacentral:rRNA from 1 species
AUUGAACGCUGGCGGCAGGCCUAACACAUGCAAGUCGAGCGGAUGAAGGGAGCUUGCUCCUGGAUUCAGCGGCGGACGGGUGAGUAAUGCCUAGGAAUCUGCCUGGUAGUGGGGGAUAACGUCCGGAAACGGGCGCUAAUACCGCAUACGUCCUGAGGGAGCAAGUGGGGGAUCUUCGGACCUCACGCUAUCAGAUGAGCCUAGGUCGGAUUAGCUAGUUGGUGGGGUAAAGGCCUACCUAGGCGACGAUCCGUAACUGGUCUGAGAGGAUGAUCAGUCACACUGGAGCUGAGACACGGUCCAGGCUCCUACGGGAGGCAGCAGUGGGGAAUAGUGGACAAUGGGCGAAAGCCUGAUCCAGCCAUGGCGCGUGUGUGAAGAAGGUCUUCGGAUUGUAAAGCACUUUAAGUUGGGAGGAAGGGCAGUAAGUUAAUACCUUGCUGUUUUGACGUUACCAACAGAAUAAGCACCGGCUAACUUCGU